rnacentral:rRNA from 1 species
AUUGAACGCUGGCGGCAGGCCUAACACAUGCAAGUCGAAUGAUAACAGGAAACAGCUUGCUGUUUCGCUGACGAGUGGCGGACGGGUGAGUAAUGUCUGGGAAACUGCCUGAUGGAGGGGGAUAACUACUGGAAACGGUAGCUAAUACCGCAUAACGUCGCAAGACCAAAGAGGGGGACCUUCGGGCCUCUUGCCAUCAGAUGUGCCCAGAUGGGAUUAGCUAGUAGGUGGGGUAACGGCUCACCUAGGCGACGAUCCCUAGCUGGUCUGAGAGGAUGACCAGCCACACUGGAACUGAGACACGGUCCAGACUCCUACGGGAGGCAGCAGUGGGGAAUAUUGCACAAUGGGCGCAAGCCUGAUGCAGCCAUGCCGCGUGUAUGAAGAAGGCCUUCGGGUUGUAAAGUACUUUCAGCGGGGAGGAAGGGAGUAAAGUUAAUACCUUUGCUCAUUGACGUUACCCGCAGAAGAAGCACCGGCUAACUCCGUG